rnacentral:misc_RNA from 1 species
GAUGAAGAACGUAGCGAAAUGCGAUAACUAAUGUGAACUGCAGAAUUCAGUGAAUCAUCGAGUCUUUGAACGCACAUUGCGCCCUCUGGUAUUCCGGAGGGCAUGCCUGUCCGAGCGUCAUUGCUGCCCUCCAGCCCGGCUGGUGUGUUGGGCCCCGUCCCCCUUCCCGGGGGGACGGGCCCGAAAGGCAGCGGCGGCACCGCGUCCGGUCCUCGAGCGUAUGGGGCUUUGUCACCCGCUCUUGUAGGCCCGGCCGGCGCCAGCCGACCCCCUCAAUCUAUUUUUCAGGUUGACCUCGGAUCAGGUAGGGAUACCCGCUGAACUUAAGCAUAUCAAUAAGCGGAGGA